rnacentral:rRNA from 1 species
CUAAGAAUAUUCCGCAAUGGACGAAAGUCUGACGGAGCGACGCCGCGUGAACGAAGAAGGCCGGAAGGUUGUAAAGUUCUUUUGAAACUGAAGAAUAAGUAUUGCAGGGAAUGGCGAUAUGGUGACGGUAGGUUUUGAAUAAGCAACGGCUAAUUACGUGCCAGCAGCCGCGGUAACACGUAAGUUGCGAGCGUUGUUCGGAAUUAUUGGGCGUAAAGGGCAUGUAGGCGGUUUUGCAAGCUUGGUGUGAAAUGCAUAGGCUCAACCUAUGAACUGCAUUGAGAACUACAAGACUUGAGUUACUGAGGUGGAACUGGAAUUCCAGGUGUAGGGGUGAAAUCUGCAGAUAUCUGGAAGAACACCAAUGGCGAAGGCAAGUUUCAAGCAGAUAACUGACGCUGAGGUGCGAAGGUGCGGGGAGCAAACAGGAUUAGAUACCCUGGUUAGU